GAUGAAGAACGUAGCGAAAUGCGAUAAGUAAUGUGAAUUGCAGAAUUCAGUGAAUCAUCGAAUCUUUGAACGCACCUUGCACCCUUUGGCAUUCCGAAGCGUAUGCUCGUUUGAGUGUCAUUGUACUCUCACACUCUCCGAUCCUAUGGAUUCGGGGAGCGGUGGACUUGGGUGUUGCUGCCUUUCCUUGUGGCUCACCUCAAAUGUGUCAGUGCACCUCUUGGUUGGACAUAGUACGGCGUGAUAAGUGUCUUCGCCGGCACCUCGCAAGAGGGUGGCCGAUCGGGAGCUCUGUGCUUUCAAACCGUCUUCGGACAAUUUCUGACAACUUGACCUCAAAUCGAGUAGGACUACCCGCUGAACUUAAGCAUAUCAAUAAGCGGAGGA
rnacentral:misc_RNA from 1 species